ensembl:miRNA
GGGUUGGCCAAAAAGUUCAUUUGGGUUUUUCUGUAACAUCUUACGGAAAAACCCGAACAAACAUUUUGGCCAACGCA